rnacentral:lncRNA from 1 species
GGGACUCUAGGGCGGGGCCAAGAUGAGCGUUAGGAGGGCGGGGCCUGGGGUGGGGCCAGGAUGAACGUCAUGAGGGCGAGGCCUGUGGUAGGGCCAGGAUAAGCGUCGUUGGGGCAGGUCCUGGGUAGACCAGGUUGGCGGAUCCUGGGGCGGGGCCAGGAUAGGGCGAUCCUGGAAGCUGGGCUUCGGAAGCGUCCAGGUUGGUGGCGUCCUGGAGGCGGUGCCUUGCGUGGGGGCAGGAUAAGAGUCCUGGAGGCGGGCAUUAGGGCGGGGAUAAACGCCAUUGGGUUCAGGAGGCGGGACUCAGAGCACAGCCCAGGAGACAGGUCUUAGGGCGGGGCUAAGGCCAGACCCAGAGAAGGGCUCAGGAGGCGGGGCCGGGGCGGGGCGUUGACUAUGUCGUAGCACAUGGCCAGGCGGUGCGCGGACUCUGGGAGGUGAAGCUUAGGACGGGCCCACGUGGGGAGGGGCCCAGGGUCCGGGAGGCGGUGCAGAGUCAGGGCUGGGCUGCGCUCAGGAGGCGGGCCCUGGGAGGCGGAGCUUAGGGAGGGGCCGGUGUCGGGAGGGACCCAGGGACUGGGAGGCCGGUCGGGGCUGGGCUCAGGGGCCGAGACCUAGCUGGGCUUGGGGCGGGGCUGAGAGGGAGCGAGGGGUCCAGGAUCCAGGGAAACGGGGAGGGGUUUGAGGAGGGGAUCGGAAUGUGGCUCAAUUUCGGGAGGCGUUACCUGCGGAGGGUUUGAGGCAGGCCUAGGAGCGAGCCCACGGUCUGCUGACGCGGGGCCAGGGUCGGGCCCCAGGAUCCGGAGCUUCGGUCGGAGCCGAGUCCGGGUUUGGGGCCCGGGAGGCGGGGCCAGUUAGGGUGAGGGUCCCUGGGAUCGACGGGUCAGGCCUUGGGCUAACGUAGGCACUCGCAGUUCCUCCGCCUUCAGGAAGGUCUUUUUAGCAGGGGCCUUACGGGUGCGCGCUUCGGUCCUGGAGGCCUUAACCUAGCCUCUUCUACGUCAGCGCCACCCGUCUGGGGCCCGAAACGAGGGAGCUUUCCCUCUGUCCCCCAGCCUUUGGACUAUCACCAAACAAGCCAUUCGUUCAUCAAAUACUUAUUAAGUGCCUACCAUGUGCCUGACAAGGGAGAUGUAACGGUGCGAAAAACUGGGUGUGGUCCAGGCCCUCCAGGGGCUCAGGGGCUCGUGGAAGAAGUGGACAUUGAAGUACUUAUCACACAAAUGAGGAUAAAAGUGCGAUAGCGAUAUCUGCCACGAAGCUGUUGUUC